rnacentral:rRNA from 1 species
UACAGAGGGUGCAAGCGUUAAUCGGAGUUACUGGGCGUAAAGGGCGCGUAGGCGGCGCGGAUAGUCGGCGGUGAAAGCCCGGAGCUCAACUCCGGGUCGGCCGUCGAUACUUCCGGGCUUGAGCACUGUAGAGGCAGAUGGAAUUCCGGGUGUAGCGGUGGAAUGCGUAGAGAUCCGGAAGAACACCGGUGGCGAAAGCGGCUCACUGGACCAUAACUGACGCUGAUGCACGAAAGCUGGGGGAGCAAACAGG